GAGUGGCGGACGGGUGAGUAACACGUGGGUAACCUGCCCUUAAGUGGGGGAUAACAUUUGGAAACAGAUGCUAAUACCGCAUAGAUCCAAGAACCGCAUGGUUCUUGGCUGAAAGAUGGCGUAAGCUAUCGCUUUUGGAUGGACCCGCGGCGUAUUAGCUAGUUGGUGAGGUAAUGGCUCACCAAGGCGAUGAUACGUAGCCGAACUGAGAGGUUGAUCGGCCACAUUGGGACUGAGACACGGCCCAAACUCCUACGGGAGGCAGCAGUAGGGAAUCUUCCACAAUGGACGCAAGUCUGAUGGAGCAACGCCGCGUGAGUGAAGAAGGCUUUCGGGUCGUAAAACUCU
rnacentral:rRNA from 2 species